rnacentral:rRNA from 1 species
CUACGGGCGGCUCCAGUGGGGAAUAUUGCACAAUGGGCGCAAGCCUGAUGCAGCCAUGCCGCGUGUAUGAAGAAGGCCUUCGGGUUGUAAAGUACUUUCAGCGGGGAGGAAGGGAGUAAAGUUAAUACCUUUGCUCAUUGACGUUACCCGUAGAAGAAGCACCGGCUAACUCCGUGCCAGCAGCCGCGGUAAUACGGAGGGUGCAAGCGUUAAUCGGAAUUACUGGGCGUAAAGCGCACGCAGGCGGUUUGUUAAGUCAGAUGUGAAAUCCCCGGGCUCAACCUGGGAACUGCAUCUGAUACUGGCAAGCUUGAGUCUCGUAGAGGGGGGUAGGAUUCCAGGUGUAGCGGUGAAAUGCGUAGAGAUCUGGAGGAAUACCGGUGGCGAAGGCGGCCCCCUGGACGAAGACUGACGCUCAGGUGCGAAAGCGUGGGGAGCAAACAGGAUUAGAUACCCUAGUAGUC